rnacentral:rRNA from 1 species
GACGAACGCUGGCGGCGUGCCUAAUACAUGCAAGUCGAGCGAAGCGGCGGAUGGGUGAGUAACGCGUGGGUAACCUGCCCUUAAGUCUGGGAUACCAUUUGGAAACAGAUGCUAAUACCGGAUACUAAAGGAUGGACCUGCGAUGCAUUAGCUAGUGGGGAAGGUAACGGCUUACCCAGUCGAUGAUGCAUGGCCGAGUUGAGAGAUCUAUCGGCCACAUUGGGACUGAGACACGGACCAAAUUCCUACGGGAGGCAGACGUAGGGAAUCUUCCACAAUGGACGAAAGUCGGAUGGAGCAACGCCGCGUGAGUGAAGAAGGUUUUCGGAUCGUAAAGCUCUGUUGUUGGUGAAGCGGUAAUCAACCAGAAAGUCACGGCUAACUACGUGCCAGCAGCCGCGGUAAUUC